rnacentral:misc_RNA from 1 species
GAUGAAGAACGCAGUGAAAUGCGAUACUUGGUGUGAAUUGCAGAAUCCCGUGAACCAUCGAGUCUUUGAACGCAAGUUGCGCCUCAAGCCAUUAGGUUGAGGGCACGUCUGCUUGGGCGUCACAUAUCGUUGCCUGAUGCCAGUUUCCUCGUGAUGGGUGACUGUGCAGGGCGAAUGAUGGCUUCCCGUGAGCAUUGUUGCCUCAUGGUUGGUUGAAAAUUGAGUCCUUGGUAGGGAGCGCCGUGAUAGAUGGUGGUUGAGUGACGAACGAGACCCAAUCAUGUGAGACCCCUACCGAAUUUGGCCUUCAUGACCCACAUGCGUCUUUGGAACGCUCAUGACGAGACCUCAGGUCAGGCGGGGCUACCCGCUGAGUUUAAGCAUAUCAAUAGCGGAGGA